UACGGAGGGUGCGAGCGUUGUCCGGAAUCACUGGGCGUAAAGGGCGCGUAGGCGGCAUGCCAAGCGUGUGGUGAAAGCCCGGGGCUCAACCCCCGGGUCGGCCGUGCGGACUGGCGUGCUCGAGCACUGUAGGGGCGGGUGGAAUUCCGGGUGGUAGGCGGUGGAAUGCGUAGGAGGAAUCCGGGAAGAACACCGGUGGCGAAGGCGGCCCG
rnacentral:rRNA from 1 species